CUCAAAGGGAGAACUUGCGUUUUGUUGUCUUAGGAUUUCUUUGUGGUUUCUGUUCAUGAAUGUAUGCUUUCUUGGGGUCAGGAAUAGGCAGACAUAUUUUCCACAGCGCUGCACCCACCUCUCGAUUAGACCCCGGAGAUUCAGAGGCAGCUGACCAGAGUGGAUGGAAUGCAAAUGAGGGCAGGUGAUUCAUUACUGCACCCCAGUCACACCAUCUCCCCGUCACCCUCCAUGAAAUCUGCGAUAGGCUAUUCCUCACACUCCUGACAAGAGGAGCAAGAAAAACAGAGUUGCUGCAAGGAAGAGAGGCUUUCAAGACUCCAGCACUUUCCUACCAUGGCAAAUCCAGAUUCCUCCAGCCAUAUAAUGGAAAGCCAAUUGUCUUGCCAUGGGCUAUUUCCCCAAGAAUGAGAGAGAAUUGACGUUUAUCGGGCCACUGAGCUUGUGACCAGACUGCGGUGCCCUGAUCAUAGAUGAACAAAAAUACUGAGGCCCUUCAAUAUAGUGCCUUUGCUCAACAGCAGUACCACGCCUGAGAUUCAAACCUGCAACCUUCACCAUUGUCCUUAACCACUGCUGUACACUUUCAUUAGUGGACCAGCCUUGGGAGCACCCAUAAUAAAGACAAAAUAAGCUCAGAUAUUAAACAGAAUUAUGACCUGGGAAUUUGAGUGCAGCUCUAUAGAUAACACUGAAAUAUAUGGAAGUAA